GACGAAGGUGGCGAGCGUUACUCGGAAUUACUAGGCGUGAAGCGUGGGCAGGUGGCCCGGUCAGUCUGUUGUGAAAGCUCCCGGCUUAACUGGGAGAGGCCAAUGGAUACUGCUGGGCUUGAAUGUGGGAGAGGUGACUGGAAUUCCUGGUGUAGCGGUGAAAUGCGUAGAUAUCAGGAGGAACAUCUAUGGCGAAGGCAGGUCACUGGACCACUAUUGACACUCAUCCACGAAAGCUAGGGGAUCAAACAGG
rnacentral:rRNA from 1 species